CGGACGGGUGAGUAAUGUCUGGGAAACUGCCUGAUGGAGGGGGAUAACUACUGGAAACGGUAGCUAAUACCGCAUAACGUCUUCGGACCAAAGUGGGGGACCUUCGGGCCUCACGCCAUCGGAUGUGCCCAGAUGGGAUUAGCUAGUAGGUGGGGUAAUGGCUCACCUAGGCGACGAUCCCUAGCUGGUCUGAGAGGAUGACCAGCCACACUGGAACUGAGACACGGUCCAG
rnacentral:rRNA from 1 species